UUGGCCGGGCGACGGUUGUCCCGGUUUAAGCGUGUAGGCUGGUUUUCCAGGCAAAUCCGGAAAAUCAAGGCUGAGGCGUGAUGACGAGGCACUACGGUGCUGAAGCAACAAAUGCCCUGCUUCCAGGAAAAGCCUCUAAGCAUCAGGUAACAUCAAAUCGUACCCCAAACCGACACAGGUGGUCAGGUAGAGAAUACCAAGGCGCUUGAGAGAACUCGGGUGAAGGAACUAGGCAAAAUGGUGCCGUAACUUCGGGAGAAGGCACGCUGAUAUGUAGGUGAAGUCCCUCGCGGAUGGAGCUGAAAUCAGUCGAAGAUACCAGCUGGCUGCAACUGUUUAUUAAAAACACAGCACUGUGCAAACACGAAAGUGGACGUAUACGGUGUGACGCCUGCCCGGUGCCGGAAGGUUAAUUGAUGGGGUUAGCGCAAGCGAAGCUCUUGAUCGAAGCCCCGGUAAACGGCGGCCGUAACUAUAACGGUCCUAAGGUAGCGAAAUUCCUUGUCGGGUAAGUUCCGACCUGCACGAAUGGCGUAAUGAUGGCCAGGCUGUCUCCACCCGAGACUCAGUGAAAUUGAACUCGCUGUGAAGAUGCAGUGUACCCGCGGCAAGACGGAAAGACCCCGUGAACCUUUACUAUAGCUUGACACUGAACAUUGAGCCUUGAUGUGUAGGAUAGGUGGGAGGCUUUGAAGUGUGGACGCCAGUCUGCAUGGAGCCGACCUUGAAAUACCACCCUUUAAUGUUUGAUGUUCUAACGUUGACCCGUAAUCCGGGUUGCGGACAGUGUCUGGUGGGUAGUUUGACUGGGGCGGUCUCCUCCUAAAGAGUAACGGAGGAGCACGAAGGUUGGCUAAUCCUGGUCGGACAUCAGGAGGUUAGUGCAAUGGCAUAAGCCAGCUUGACUGCGAGCGUGACGGCGCGAGCAGGUGCGAAAGCAGGUCAUAGUGAUCCGGUGGUUCUGAAUGGAAGGGCCAUCGCUCAACGGAUAAAAGGUACUCCGGGGAUAACAGGCUGAUACCGCCCAAGAGUUCAUAUCGACGGCGGUGUUUGGCACCUCGAUGUCGGCUCAUCACAUCCUGGGGCUGAAGUAGGUCCCAAGGGUAUGGCUGUUCGCCAUUUAAAGUGGUACGCGAGCUGGGUUUAGAACGUCGUGAGACAGUUCGGUCCCUAUCUGCCGUGGGCGCUGGAGAAUUGAGGGGGGCUGCUCCUAGUACGAGAGGACCGGAGUGGACGCAUCACUGGUGUUCGGGUUGUCAUGCCAAUGGCACUGCCCGGUAGCUAAAUGCGGAAGAGAUAAGUGCUGAAAGCAUCUAAGCACGAAACUUGCCCCGAGAUGAGUUCUCCCUGACUCCUUGAGAGUCCUGAAGGAACGUUGAAGACGACGACGUUGAUAGGCCGGGUGUGUAAGCGCAGCGAUGCGUUGAGCUAACCGGUACUAAUGAACCGUGAGGCUUAACCUU
rnacentral:rRNA from 1 species